rnacentral:rRNA from 1 species
AACACAUGCAAGUCGCCCGCCCCGCAAGGGGAGUGGCAGACGGGUGAGUAACGCGUGGGAAUCUACCCAAUUCUUCGGAACAACACAUGGAAACGUGUGCUAAUACCGGAUGAGCCCUUCGGGGGAAAGAUUUAUCGGAAUUGGAUGAGCCCGCGUUGGAUUAGCUAGUUGGUGGGGUAAAGGCCUACCAAGGCGACGAUCCAUAGCUGGUCUGAGAGGAUGAUCAGCCACACUGGGACUGAGACACGGCCCAGACUCCUACGGGAGGCAGCAGUGGGGAAUAUUGGACAAUGGGCGCAAGCCUGAUCCAGCCAUGCCGCGUGAGUGAUGAAGGUCUUAGGAUUGUAAAGCUCUUUCACCGGUGAAGAUAAUGACGGUAACCGGAGAAGAAGCCCCGGCUAACUUCGUGCCAGCAGCCGCGGUAAUACGAAGGGGGCUAGCGUUGUUCGGAUUUACUGGGCGUAAAGCGCACGUAGGCGGACUUUUAAGUCAGGGGUGAAAUCCCGGGGCUCAACCCCGGAACUGCCUUUGAUACUGGGAGUCUUGAGUUCGAGAGAGGUGAGUGGAAUUGCGAGU